rnacentral:tRNA from 1 species
GCCGGAGUAGCUCAGAUCAACCAGAGAGCAACCUGGUUAGAUAGUCCAGAAGUCGCGGGUUCAAAUCCCGCCUCCGGCA